rnacentral:rRNA from 1 species
GACGAACGCUGGCGGCGUGCCUAACACAUGCAAGUCGAACGAAGUGGCGAACGGGUGAGUAAUGCGUAAUCAACCUGCCCUUCAGAGGGGGACAACAGUUGGAAACGACUGCUAAUACCGCAUACUGAAGGAGGGGAUUGCGUCUGAUUAGCGAGUCGGAGGGGUAACGGCCCACCACGGCGAUGAUCAGUAGCCGGUCUGGGAGGAUGAACGGCCAAAUUGGGACUGGGACACGGCCCAGACUCCUACGGGGAGCAGCAAGGGGGAAUCUUCCGCAAUGGGCGGAAGUCUGACGGAGCAAAGCCGCGUGAGAGGUGACGGCCUUCGGGUUGUAAAGCUCUGUUAAUCGGGACGCGGUACCGGAAUAGGAAGCCACGGCUAACUACGUGCCAGCCGCCGCGGUAAUAC